UUUCAUUUGCAUUUCCUCUGACGGGAGCACUACUGCCACACCCUGAGAGUCCAAGAAAUCUUUCUUUCGACUCCUUGGCUCACUGACCCCGCAUCAUUUCUGGUGGCCCGUACAGGGAUCUUGCUUCGCCGGCUUGUGAGUUCAAGUUCUGAGAAAUUCAUGGAAAGGAUUCUGACACAGGAUUCCAGAAAACACUUUUCUGAUAAACUUUCAGAUCAUAAAACUGAACUGGAUCCCUCCAGAUUUUGGAAACGUAGUGAGGGAUCUGUACACCUUGUCAGCCUUGGACUCCAUGGAUGCAACCUUCCAGUCCACUGAACGUCCUGCCUGUACCCCUAUGGUCCCCAUUUAGGGACAGCUCUACAACCUUGUACGGCCGGGAGUAGUUACAGAAGACUGACCAUUGUCCAUAUCGCCAAAGGAUUUCCAGGCCAAAUGGGUUCAGGGAGGAUUUCAUGAUGAGGAUCAAGGCUGCCCCAGGGAGAGAAGCCCAAGGCGUCCCGGCCUACAUGUCAAUCUAUAUCACCCUCCAGGAAGCAUAGGACAUCCUGAACUGAUUCGACCUGACUCAUAUCCAAAGUUAUAGGACCACCCAAUAACCAGACCCCACCUGCACUGAUACCAUUUUAAUGACUUUUUUACAUGAUCUUUCCUUUGUCUUGUAAAGAGAUAACUCAUACACCUACACCUUAUAAAUUUAGCCCUGCCCUCAAUCCAUUACAGCUCUUCACUGCCCAUGGGUCCUGUCGCCAUGCUAUUCUCUGAAUAAAAGAGCACUACUACCAGACCUGAAGACUCCAAGAAAUCUUUCUUCUGACUCCUCAGCUCGCCGAGCCCACAUCAGCUUCGUGGUAUCAGGGACUCAGAUUCUUGCUAUCUUACAGCUGCUCUUCCAUCUUCAACCGGCAGUUUCCACCUCAUGGUCCAAGGUAACUGCUCUGGCACUGCCAUCACGUCUACAUUCCUGCCAGUGGGAAGUAUAGAAAAGGAAGUAGAAUUCAACCCAUUUAGGGACACAAACCAGAAUGCUUUGUGCCACUUUCCCUCUCAUUCUUUUGGCCAGAGUUAGUCAGAUGUCCUACACUGCUGCAAGGGAGGCUGGAAACAGUGGUCAGUCCUUAACUGACAGGGCUGGGCAGCCAUGUUCUCUGCUAAAACUAGGGGUACUGUUACCAAUGCAUAUAUUGUCUGUUCUCUGCC
rnacentral:lncRNA from 1 species